UGGACAAUGGGCGCAAGCCUGAUCCAGCCAUGCCGCGUGAGUGAUGAAGGCCUUAGGGUUGUAAAGCUCUUUCGUCGGGGAAGAUAAUGACGGUACCCGCAGAAGAAGCCCCGGCUAACUUCGUGCCAGCAGCCGCGGUAAUACGAAGGGGGCUAGCGUUGUUCGGAAUUACUGGGCGUAAAGCGCGCGUAGGCGGAUCACUAAGUCAGGGGUGAAAUCCUGAGGCUCAACCUCGGAACUGCCUUUGAUACUGGUGACCUGGAGAUCGGGAGAGGUUGGUGGAAUUCCGA
rnacentral:rRNA from 1 species